UAUUGGACAAUGGGCGAAAGCCUGAUCCAGCAAUGCCGCGUGAGUGAUGAAGGCCCUAGGGUUGUAAAGCUCUUUUACCCGGGAAGAUAAUGACUGUACCGGGAGAAUAAGCCCCGGCUAACUCCGUGCCAGCAGCCGCGGUAAUACGGAGGGGGCUAGCGUUGUUCGGAAUUACUGGGCGUAAAGCGCACGUAGGCGGCUUUGUAAGUCAGAGGUGAAAGCCUGGAGCUCAACUCCAGAACUGCCUUUGAGACUGCAUCGCUUGAAUCCAGGAGAGGUCAGUGGAAUUCCGAGUGUAGAGGUGAAAUUCGUAGAUAUUCGGAAGAACACCAGUGGCGAAGGCGGCUGACUGGACUGGUAUGACGCUGAGUGCGAA
rnacentral:rRNA from 1 species